UAUGCUUCUACUUUGAGAAUGAAACUCGUUACUUAGGGCAUGUUGCCCGUUCAGUAGUUGUGUUUAUUCUGAAUCUUUUUCAUAUAAAUUCGCCGUAUUUAUAGGCCUUUUCGAUGUCUACUUGAUCUUAUUCAAUUGAAAAGGACACUUUGAUUUGUGAUUUUAGUAAAGUGAAAACACUUGCCAGUGACUGCUAAUAAUAUUUUCGACAAAGAUAUCUAUAUAAAAGAAGGUGAAGGUUUCACCUACAAGAAGCAGGAUAUUGCGCAUUUAGUAGACUAAUUCAGUAAUCUAAUAUUGCCUUACUCCAGAAUCCUAAUCUGCGGUGUUACGAAGGGCGUAACACAUCUAAUAGCUCACUGUACAUUGUACGAGUCUAAAAAUCGUGUUUAACUCGUUUAAACGUGAUUUAUCAGCGAACUGAACAAUGCAGAUUGAUUUUCACGAUUAACGAUUAGGAGGAACUACGUCACCGAAACAGUUUAAACUGAUAAGUGUUUAAUCCUGACCGCAAAUUAUUUACUGAUUUAAAAUCUAAAAAGGUGUCAUAUAAAUCAAUCUGUUACGCAGAUGCAUAUCUUUUGUUUGUCGCUUGACUUAGCAGCGAUAAGCAUAACAUCAUAAAAAUAGCAUUUUUUUCGGUCUCGUUUUUUGGGUGAAAUCGUGAAAAAUUUUAUCGUCUCGUGAAGAAAAAAAAUUGUCCACAAGAGACUUAGUCUAUUUUUGAAGUACAACUGAUAACUUCAAGGUGAAGAAGUGCGUUUAAUCUGUUUAAUUUGUCGUUUUUUUUUUGUAUUCGUUAAAAUAGUAGUUAUGGCAUUUGAAACAGUAAAACAAAUUGAAUUUCAGCAAGUGGUUUGUAGAAAACUGUAAAUAUAAAGAGUUAGAUUGGAGGUAAGGUGAGUCAAUUUAUUGUGUGCAACUUGACCAAUUUAUUUACAUUACCAUAGUGAUUAAGUAACUAAGCCAAAUGCACGACAUUGAUAUAAAUUAUAAAUAUGAUGAUUUGCUGCUCUUUUAUGUUUGGAAGGAAAGUGAACUUUAAUUGAAAGUAGGACACAGCCUCGGACAUUGUUCAAGUGGAAGAGGCUGACAAAAUGUAUCGCUGCUCAUGUUAAUAGUAGAUUACGUACUGACUUGGAGAUUUUUAAUUUGACGAGGCGUUUGCAGCCCGAGUCGAAGGCGAUUACCAUUACGUGGUAGUAUAGUUUACUCACGAAGACCCCCGAAAACGAGUUUUAACGUAUCGAUGGAAAACAAGAAUCCGGGGGUACAGCCAGUAAAAUAGUAAGACGACAAAUCGGAAACGGUGAGAGUGUGAAAGAAUUGUCAUCUAUAAAAGAACGGCUACAAAGCUUAAGGGUAAAGUUUUCAUCUUAAUUUUCUUCGUCUGAGGCUAAUAUUCCUAAUUUAUCUGACAUCUAAAAAUCAAUAAAAGUUCAGGUAAAUCUGGUUUCAGAAAAUCCCAGAUUACCUGAAAUUUGAUCUGAUUUAUCGGAACCUUUACUGAUUUUCAGAUUUCAGUUAAAUUCAGGUCAGGUAACAAUUUUGAAUCCAGGUUCAGUUCCAAUCAGAUCCAGAUAAUCUGAACAUCAGGUUUCAGGUCAACCUGACCUGUUCCGAUCUUUAUCCGAGGCCGUUUUUAUCCUGAGCAUUUGUGAAGGAUUUUGUAUGCUGAAGGCGUCGAAAGAAGUACUUUUAAAUCAUGAAAACCACGAUUUUCGACGAAUAUAAAUUUUGUAAGACAUGGACGAUCAUGAACCCAACCGUUUGAAUUGAAUUUACUUCCAAUGAAUGUAUUAUGCUCUAAUCAGUAGCGCCAAGUAGUCAUUUGCCUCUCACGGGAAAGUUUGAAGGGGAAUAAAAUUGCAACAUUUAUUUAAGGAGUAGCGAUCAAAACAGAUCGUUGCACUCAGGAUGGUCCAGUGAAUCUUUUAUGGAAGAAAAGAUUUUUUUUUAAAUUCGUUUACCUUUAAUUCGUUUGGCACGGGAUUUGUUGAAUAGGAGUAACAACAGAGUACCGAAAUUUUCUGAACUCAAAAAUUUUCUUAAAAAAUCGUCUUGGGCAAAGCAUAAUACAUUAAAAAGAAAUAUUUUUUUGGUCUUAAAAUUUUCUUGGAACCAAGCUGAGUUGGAUCAGCUGGGUCCACAAGCACGACCUG